UUUUGACUUUCAGCUAAACACAUCAUCAAGAUUGAUGGGAAAGCAGGACUGUUCAAAGGGCUCGGUCCCAGGCUCUGUGCCGGCUCCAUCGGAACCAUAGUGCACAGCAGAGUACUGCAGAAAUGUCAGGAAGAAGGCACACUUCAGGUUCUGGGAGGUCAGCAGAAAGCUGCCGAGGGCUCCCUGCAGCACGUUGUUAAUGAGGUACCAUUCUCACACACUACACUUAUACUG